rnacentral:rRNA from 1 species
GACGAACGCUGGCGGCGUGCUUAACACAUGCAAGUCGAGCGGUAAGGCCCUUUCGGGGGUACACGAGCGGCGAACGGGUGAGUAACACGUGGGUGACCUGCCCUCAGCUCUGGGAUAAGCCUGGGAAACCGGGCCUAAUACCGGAUAUGACUCCAUGACGCAUGUUGUGGGGUGGAAAGCCUUGUGCGGCUGAGGAUGGGCCCGCGGCCUAUCAGCUUGUUGGUGGGGUGAUGGCCUACCAAGGCGACGACGGGUAGCCGGCCUGAGAGGGCGACCGGCCACACUGGGACUGAGACACGGCCCAGACUCCUACGGGAGGCAGCAGUGGGGAAUCUUGCGCAAUGGGCGAAAGCCUGACGCAGCGACGCCGCGUGAGGGAUGACGGCCUCGG